rnacentral:lncRNA from 1 species
UUUGUAUUUUUAGUAGAGACAGGGUUUCAUCAUGUUGGCCAGGAUAGUCUCGAACUCCUGACCUCAUGAUCUGCCCACCUUGGCCUCCCAAAGUGCUGGGAUUACAGGCGUGAGCCACUUUUGCUAUAACUUCAUGUGCAUAGGAAAUCAUAUUAAUAGGAACAUGAGAUUAUUAUAGGUACUAUUAUGAAAAUUGCAACUUAAAAUUUUUUUAAGUCUAAUACUUGGCUUGUACUAAACAGCGAACAUCAUGUCCCUUCUCAAAGAUUAUGUUACUUACUUGCAACAGAAUAGGGUUUUUCUCUGGAUUAGAAGCUAACAUUUAUUAAGAUAUUAUCUUAUU